rnacentral:rRNA from 1 species
AACGAACGCUGGCGGCAUGCCUAACACAUGCAAGUCGAACGAGACCUUCGGGUCUAGUGGCGCACGGGUGCGUAACGCGUGGGAACCUGCCUUUAGGUUCGGAAUAACUCAGAGAAAUUUGAGCUAAUACCGGAUGAUGUCUUCGGACCAAAGAUUUAUCGCCUUUAGAUGGGCCCGCGUUGGAUUAGCUAGUUGGUGGGGUAAAGGCCUACCAAGGCGACGAUCCAUAGCUGGUCUGAGAGGAUGAUCAGCCACACUGGGACUGAGACACGGCCCAGACUCCUACGGGAGGGAGCAGUGGGGAAUAUUGGACAAUGGGCGAAAGCCUGAUCCAGCAAUGCCGCGUGAGUGAGGAAGGCCUUAGGGUUGUAAAGCUCUUUUACCCGAGAUGAUAAUGACAGUAUCGGGAGAAUAAGCGCCGGCUAACUCCGUG